rnacentral:rRNA from 1 species
UACGUAGGCAGCAAGCGUUGUUCGGAAUUACUGGGCGUAAAGGGUGCGUAGGCGGUGCUCUAAGUUUGGUGUGAAGUCUCCCGGCUUAACUGGGAGGGUGCGCCGAAAACUGGAGCGCUUGAGUGCGGGAGAGGAAAGCGGAAUUCCUGGUGUAGCGGUGAAAUGCGUAGAGAUCAGGAGGAACACCUGCGGUGUAGACGGCUUUCUGGACCGUAACUGACGCUGAGGCACGAAAACGUGGGUAGCAAACAGG